AUACAUCUUUAAGGAAAGAAAAAAAAAUCAACUUACAUACAGUUAUUACAAUUUUAUUUAGAUUUAAAAUAAUACAUGGCAUUCCUUUCUUAACCUUCUUCAUCUAACUUAAGUGUGCCGUGCUUUCCAUUUUCUAAAUGCAACCAUGAAUUUCAGGACUUUUCAUUUUCACCCAUAUUUUUAAUUAAUCUCCAUGAAAAGAUGCUAAUCUGAUGUUUUAUUUAAAUAUCUUGUUUUCUUAGAAUCUUUGCUUUUUUAGUGCUUCCAUAUUUACUCUUGCUUUCCUGACAACUGGAUAUAAAAUGACACAAACAUUGAUUUGAGCAUGAAGAAAAUCAGUAAGUACCAAAGUAAAUACGUGUAAGUACUUUUUGAUGAACUAGUUUUUUUUUUUUUUUUUUAAGUUUGUUAAAAGAAAUAAAGCAGAAAACUUUAUGAGAAAAUGAGAGACUCUCCAUCAGUGGUAUACCAAAAGGGGUGAGAGGGGAGAGUACGAGCCUUCCACCUCGGAAAGUAGGAAUAUAUUAUCACUGACAUUGUAUAAUACUGGCACAUGCCAAUAAGAAAAAGCAGAAAUCUGGAGAAUUCUCAUUAUCACACACUAAAAGAAGAAACCAUAGGUCUUCUAAAAUCUCAGAGGACUGGGAAGGAAAGCAAAAUAAAUUUCAUUUCUGGAGCCAAAAAGAAUAGUAGAAAUAUCUUGUUUUUUGGGUUUUUUUUUCUUAAUGAUAAAAUAAAUUUUGGGUUUUUAAAUGAUUUACUCUGAGGAAUAUUAAAAUAACUUAUCUUGAAAAUAUAUUGUUAUUCCCAAAUAAUUCUUUUUAAGUGCCACUUGACCAAAGGAUAGGAAAGGAAGAGAUACUCUUUUGUUACCAGAUUUUUCCAGUGAGAAAUAUAUAAUAAUAAUUUUCCUUAUAAAUAUUAUAGGUGUACGGUAUUUCAAUUUGAUAUAUGUUUCAUAUUUAAUAUAUUUUAAGCAAAAGAAUUUCAAGAUAGCUCAGAUGAUGAAAUUUUUGUUUAAAACUGAGUUAAGUAUAUUUUCAUUUUUAUAAGUUAUGGUGAUUUUAAAAUCCCAGAACUGGGAAAUUAACAUGUGACUGGUAAAAAUUUAGAUACUGAUCAAGGCUUAUUUUCACUAAUGAUGGGGUAAAGAAUUUUUAAAUGGAUAAUAUAAAACAGACAGUUCAAAAAUUAUUUUUUGGCAACUACAUCCAUUGAGAAGCAUCACCCCAUAUCAUACCAUGGUCUGAUUAUUCCCCAGCCUUUGAGAGCCUGAAACUUGACAGGGUAGUGAAAGAUGAAGAGCCUACAUUAUUAAAAGAAUCCAGAAAGUAGGUAAACCAGUAAAGGAAAAUUAAGAGUUGAUAUAAUAUCUGGACUGAAAGGAGAAAAAUAAACCAAGUUGGAUUGUCUUUUUUUCCUAGAAAUGUGAAGUAAAUAUGAUGCUAUCAAGCAGCUAAAAAUACAGCUAUUGCUUUGGGGGAAAAAUUUUAAUGAAAAUGCUGUAAAAAUAGGACUAGCCCACUUUCAGUAUGAACAAAAUCAAAUAUUUUAAAUGUUUAAUUGUUUUGGUAUUUGACUAUAUUUUGAUGUAGAAGAUCAUGGUUAAAGUUGGUGCUCAUUUUGCUAAUUUUUUUUCUAAUAUGAGGAACUUGUAGCCUGUUCUUUAUAGUUUAUAAGACAAAAAUGGUUUCAUUUGCUGUGAUCUUCAAUUUUGUUGCUAGCUGGAGUUAAAUCUACAUACGUAAAAGUAAAACAAUAAAUAUGGGAAACCCCAGCAAUCUUUCCUACAAUGUGUAUUCUUACAUUCUCUUCAGAAUAACAAAUUCUUAACUUUUCCCAAAUACUUGUUUUUAACUUUAAGUAUGAGCUUAUUUUAAAUUUCUUAUUCAAAAUCUUUCAGAAAUCUCAAAUUUUGUAACAUCGCUAAUACAAGUCUCAUUAAAAUGUUUGUUUAUUUUA